rnacentral:lncRNA from 10 species
AGUUGGGAUCUUGUUAUGCAGAAACAACCAGCUAUGCCUUGGGAUCAAAAUCCAGAACAAUCAAAUGGAAAUUACAGUGAAGAUGAACAAAAGGGAAAGCAGAAAUGGAGAGAAGGAGGAGGAGAAGCAGGCGGAAAGAGAGAGGGAGAAAAAGAAGAAAAUGAAAAGGAGCUGGAAGAUGAACAGGAAAAUAAAAAAGGGAAAGGGAAAAUGAGAAACAAUAUCCCAAGAAAAGAUUAGUCAGCAAAUCCCUCAUGGACACUCUGGGCAAAGCUGAAGUUAAACAGGUGCCCCACAAUACAAGAGAGUUUAUCGAUCUCAUUUGAAUUUGGCAUGACACAUAAACAGAUAAGUCAACGGUUUUGUAAAAAGAGGAAGAAAUGUAAUAAAGAAAUGUCCAAGAGAAAGCAUAAGAAAAAACAUAAGAGAUGUGGGGCGGGGGAGCGGGUCUCUCUGAGUUGCCAAGGCUGGUCUCAAACUCCUGCCC